UACGUAGGGUGCAAGCGUUGUCCGGAUUUAUUGGGCGUAAAGAGCGUGUAGGCGGCCAGGUAGGUCCGUUGUGAAAACUCGAGGCUCAACCUCGAGACGCCGAUGGAAACCAUCUGGCUAGAGUCCGGAAGAGGAGAGUGGAAUUCCCGGUGUAGCGGUGAAAUGCGCAGAUAUCGGGAAGAACACCCGUGGCUAAGGCGGCUCUCUAGUACGGUACUGACGCUGAGACGCGAAAGCGUGGGGAGCGAACAGG
rnacentral:rRNA from 1 species